AUUGAAAAUAUCAGCCCUUAUAUAACACUGUAAACUGCACAAGUUUAGGAAUUAGUUACUCAACUCUGUUAAAUAGAUGACUAAGUCUAUUCACAUAUCUUAUCUUGGCCAUUUCAAUCUUAAUCUCUUAUCUAAAAUCUAUCUUAUUUAUUAUCUAUUUUAUUUUUUCUUUUAUCUUAUUGUUAUUUGUUUUGAACCUGAAUACUUAAUCUUUUAAAAACAUAAAUUCGAAAGGCCUCAAAGCAAACACCAAAUUGUUUUAGCCUUUUAUGGUUCAUCUCUUUUAUUUCUGGGCACCCACUUCUUAAUUUUUCCCACCCUUGUUUCUUAUCAAAACAGGAUGCCUGGAAUGAGAAGAGGAAAGCCAACUAACAAGCCAUGACCACUGAUAAAUCUGCAAUCGACUAAGGAUUCCCCAGUGGCUCUGGUGGUGCCUAAUCCCUCUGUCGCUGGAUUCAUGGCAUCUCGGGAGUCUGUAAUAACUAGGGCCGUCGCGCUUGGACCAGGAGCUGCCACCACAGGGUUCAAGCGAUUCUUGGCUUUAACUGAAGCCUCCAAAUAUAGGAAGGAUGGACCUUUCCGGAAGCUUUUUCAUCCUUAAGGAAGAGUGGGUUUGAACAAAAUCUUUUGUUAGAAGCUUUUGGUGGCUUUUCCGUUGUUCCAGUAGUCUCUGCAAUCAGGACAGGUGCAAUUAAGGUUUACAAUCAUGGCAUGUGCAAUUAAGCUUCACAAGUUUCAGCUUUCUUUGGUCUUUAGAAGCAUUUCUAAUUGUUGAAAUAUCUUUAAUUAAAAAGGAAAUACAUUACUGGUGUUUUCAUAAACUCUGUUGCACUAAGGAUUCACGUAACUCUUUGAUGAGCUUUUGUAAAAUGACACUGCCCCUUUUUUACUCUCAAAAGUAAGGGGAAAGACCGGAAGAGGGAAAAACAUAAUUGGCACGUGUUAA